CAGUCUUGCGCCGCGUCCGCAGCCGGUCGGACCGCGAAACCGCCGAGUGUCCUGUGCCAAGCAGACCAAAAAAAUUUUUGGUGUUUUUUUUUUGGCGACGCACUACGAAUCCGGCAACACGUCCAAAUUCCCGCGCAGAAGAUUCGGCUCCGCCGGGAUGGAGGAGGAGGAGGAGGAGUCCCAAUCGGAGCGAUUGACGGUCAGGUCUUCGAGAACGGUCACCCACUCCUCCUUCACGUCGUUCGACGAGACCGUCGUAACUGGUCGAGGCACGCUGAGGAGGAUGGGAGGCUCGGAGUGCGAAGACCUGCCCGGCCUCUUGCCCAACACCCUCCGACCGGCGGACAGUCCCGGGGCCAGCUCAAGGAGCAUGGACUGCAUACGGCAGGAGCAGAGGAGCUUCAUCGAGAGGGGGAGCGAAGUGAGGAGGUUCGCAAGGUCUUUCGGCUCCAAGGGAAGCCACGAGUCGUUCGAGGAGGUCGAGAGAAAGAAGGCCGUCUUCACGAGUCCCGCCGUCCGCCUAGUUCCGUCCCACCUCUCACUCGCGCCCCCCGGCACCGAGAGGAAGCUGACCAUACUCAGCCCAGGAUGGGGCCCCGACCAUCCCAAGAUGAGGAAACCGCAGAUCGCCCUGCCAAGGCUCAUCCUGCCCACGCCGGACCAGCAGAGUUGGGGCUUCGAUGUGGAGAAUGGAGGGAGCGGCGGCGGGGGCGGUGUCGGGAGGGCGGACGGCGCAGCAUCCCCCUCGGCCGUCCUUCUUCUGCAGAACCUGCCGCAGCGGAGGGAGUCCUUCCUCUACAGGUCCGAUUCGGACUUCGAGGUCUCGCCGAAGAGCAUGUCGAGGCAUUCCAGCAUCGCAAGCGAAAGAUUGAAAGAAGCAGAGCCUCCUGUCUUAGAGAGACCCCAUGGGGAAGAUCUCAUCGUCACGCCCUUCGCCCAGAUCCUGGCCAGCCUCAGGAGUGUGCGGAAUAACUUCCUGUCCCUCACAAACCUACCAACAAACAAAUCGAGAAGAUCUUCCGGUACAGGGAGCACGACCCCGCAGCCGAGGAUAUUCACUCCAGGAGACGAGGCGUACAUGAAGCUGUCCCUCGAGACCAUGGAGGAAUUAGACUGGUGUCUGGACCAGUUGGAAACCAUCCAGACGCACAGGAGCGUCUCGGAUAUGGCAUCCCUCAAGUUCAAGAGGAUGCUGAACAAAGAACUGAGCCACUUUUCCGAAUCGAGCAAAUCUGGGAACCAGAUCUCGGAGUACAUCUGUUCCACUUUCUUGGACAAGCAGCAAGAGCUGGACCUUGCGGCUAUGGAAGAGAGGUCACCGCAGAGGCCGACGGCAGCCCGAGUCCCAGGUGGCCGGGUCGUCCCGAUGAGCCACAUCUCCGGGGUGAAAAGAACCCUCACCCACGCCAACAGCCUCACCGGUGACGCCCUGCCAAAAUACGGCGUUCAAACCCCGCACGAACCGCAACUCGGCCAGAUGCUCUUGGAUAUCGACAGAUGGGGCGUGGAUAUAUUCAGGAUAGGCGAUUUAUCCAUGAAUAAACCUCUGACGGUCAUAGCCUACGCCUCGUUUCAGAGCCGAGAUCUACUCAAAACGUUCAUGAUACCGGCGAAAACCUUCAUUACUUUCAUGCUUACCGUCGAGGAACACUACGUCAAGGACAACCCGUUCCACAACAGCACGCAUGCGGCGGACGUGACACAGUCGACACACGUACUUCUCAACACGCCCGCUUUAGAGGGCGUUUUCACACCCCUGGAAACGAUGGCAGCUCUGUUCGCAGCGACGAUACACGACGUCGACCACCCUGGCCUCACGAAUCAAUUCUUAGUGAAUACAAGUUCCGAGCUGGCUUUGAUGUACAACGACGAGUCCGUUCUUGAGAACCACCACCUGGCCGUUGCGUUCAAGCUGCUGCAGAACGAAGGCUGCGAUAUAUUCCUCAACCUGAACAAGAAGCAGAGGCAGACUUUAAGGAAGAUGGCCAUCGACAUGGUGUUAUCGACGGACAUGUCGAAGCAUAUGAGCCUCCUGGCCGACCUGAAGACUAUGGUCGAGACGAAGAAGGUGGCGGGAAGCGGUGUCCUCCUGUUGGACAACUACACGGACCGCAUUCAAGUCUUGGAGAACCUGGUCCACUGCGCCGACCUGAGCAACCCGACCAAGCCGUUACCACUUUAUCAAAGGUGGGUGGCACUACUCAUGGAGGAGUUCUUCCAGCAGGGGGACAAGGAGAGAGAAGCCAACAUGGAUAUCAGCCCGAUGUGCGACAGGCACUCGGCCACGGUCGAAAAGUCGCAGGUCGGCUUCAUCGACUACAUCGUCCACCCGCUCUGGGAGACGUGGGCCGACCUCGUACACCCGGACGCCCAGGACAUCCUCGACAUGCUCGAAGAGAACAGGGACUGGUACCAAACUGCAAACGAAAAGAUCGACGAAGCCUUAAGACAGUAUGCAAAUCAAACAAAUAUCGAAUAGAGAAAAACCCAGCAUGAUUCCGCCCAGCCCGCCGUCCUCAGAGCAGAAAGACGACGAGGGCGACGACUCAAAGGGUGAAAGGACUCACGAAGACAUCAGGUUUCAAGUGACGCUGGAAGAAGGAGAAGGCGAUGAAUCGUCUACGAUGUGACGCUCGUUCGCCAAUAUCUGUCAUAAAUUAACACAAAAGAUGCAUCUCUGGUGGAGGUUCAAGUGAGGCCGACCUGCCCCAUACUUACAGAAGAGGGAAAAAGGGGGAAAAAGAAGAAAGAAGAAAAAAAUACAAAAAAAUCCGUUAGUUUGUAAACAAGUGGUGAAGUUGGACAAAACUUACAAAAACAAUCCCAUCACCCCACCCAAUCUAUUUUGUUAAAUUACAAACAAAAAAUUAAUAAUUAAUUAAUUUUUGUUUAAAUAAUUUCGAGGGGUUUAUUUUUGUCUUCAGGGCGUAGCGGGCAUUUUUCUCUUGUUUAAUUAAUUACUCAAACGUCAUAUCGAGGGGUGGAAUAUUAUUAGUGAAAAAUUGUUAAUUUUUUUAAAUUAAUUAAUUAGGGAUAAUAAUUAUUUAAAGUAUCAACCGUCUUCUAAAGAGCUUCCCUCACCCCAAACGGGACUGGGCAGAGAAUACCGCCCACCAAAAACUACCCCCUCGCCAUCGCCCCCCGCGGAAAAAGUUUUCUUGUUUGUUUUUUUAAAUUAUUCAAUUAAUUAAUUAUUGUCUCGUUCGUGAGACCGAAUUUUUGGAAAAAUCUGUCGGCCGUUUCCCCCGUACGGAGAUCCGCGGCACGCGCUGGUACGCUCCGAGCUCUCCGACGGCCUGGGAAAGCCAAAAAGGGACACAAAAAAGUAUAUAAAUGAAUUUUGAAACAUUUACCAAACAAAAAACUUUUUUGAAUUAAUUUUUUAUUACGAGAAAAGUGGUUUUUAUUAUUUAUAUGGAAAAAAGGAAAUACCAUACCACUUCCCCCACCACUUUACCCCCACUCUUGUCUUUUAAUUUUUAAGCAUACACAUAUAAAUAGUUUUUGCGAUUGUAAAUAAAUAGACAAAAAACUUAUAAAUAUAUAUUUAGCGAAGGGAAAAAGAGAAUAUAUUCCAUUGUAGUGGAGGGUGAUCACUUC
rnacentral:misc_RNA from 1 species